GACGGAGGGCGCUAGGGUUGUUGGGAAUUGCUGGGCGUAAAGGGCGCGUGGGCGGCUCUGUAAGUCGGGUGUGAAAGCCCGGGGCUCAACCCCGGAACGGCAUCCGAGACUGCGGAGCUCGAGACCGGAAGAGGUGAGUGGAAUACCCAGUGUAGAGGUGAAAUUCGUAGAUAUUGGGUGGAACACCGGUGGCGAAAGCGGCUCACUGGUCCGGUUCUGACGCUGAGGCGCGAAAGCGUGGGUAGCAAACAGG
rnacentral:rRNA from 1 species